UAAUAGUAGUUGAAAAUGAUUAUCAAUACCACAUAGAAUAUCCCCCCACAACGUUUCGUUCUUGUUGGAUUGGUCAUUUUCAAAUAUUCCCCUUUUAUAUGCCCGUAAAAGACAAUAUACGUUAUAACAACGUUUUAUAAAAGCAGUAAACCCUUACGACACUUUAGGUUUACUGCUUUU
rnacentral:ncRNA from 1 species